ACGAACGCUGGCGGCGUGCCUAAUACAUGCAAGUAGAACGCUGAAGAGAGGAGCUUGCUCUUCUUGGAUGAGUUGCGAACGGGUGAGUAACGCGUAGGUAACCUGCCUUGUAGCGGGGGAUAACUAUUGGAAACGAUAGCUAAUACCGCAUAACAAUGGAUGACACAUGUCAUUUAUUUGAAAGGGGCAAUUGUUCCACUACAAGAUGGACCUGCGUUGUAUUAGCUAGUAGGUGAGGUAAUGGCUCACCUAGGCGACGAUACAUAGCCGACCUGAGAGGGUGAUCGGCCACACUGGGACUGAGACACGGCCCAGACUCCUACGGGAGGCAGCAGUAGGGAAUCUUCGGCAAUGGGGGCAACCCUGACCGAGCAACGCCGCGUGAGUGAAGAAGGUUUUCGGAUCGUAAAGCUCUGUUGUAAGUCAAGAACGGGUGUGAGAGUGGAAAGUUCACACUGUGACGGUAGCUUACCAGAAAGGGACGGCUAACUACGUGCCAGCAGCCGCGGUAAUACGUAGGUCCCGAGCGUUGUCCGGAUUUAUUGGGCGUAAAGCGAGCGCAGGCGGUUUGAUAAGUCUGAAGUUAAAGGCUGUGGCUCAACCAUAGUUCGCUUUGGAAACUGUCAAACUUGAGUGCAGAAGGGGAGAGUGGAAUUCCAUGUGUAGCGGUGAAAUGCGUAGAUAUAUGGAGGAACACCGGUGGCGAAAGCGGCUCUCUGGUCUGUAACUUAUGCUGAUGCUCGAAAGCGUGGGGAGCGAACAGGAUUAGAUACCCUGGUAGUCCACGCCGUAAACGAUGAGUGCUAGGUGUUGGAUCCUUUCCGGGAUUCAGUGCCGCAGCUAACGCAUUAAGCACUCCGCCUGGGGAGUACGACCGCAAGGUUGAAACUCAAAGGAAUUGACGGGGGCCCGCACAAGCGGUGGAGCAUGUGGUUUAAUUCGAAGCAACGCGAAGAACCUUACCAGGUCUUGACAUCCCGAUGCUAUUUCUAGAGAUAGAAAGUUACUUCGGUACAUCGGUGACAGGUGGUGCAUGGUUGUCGUCAGCUCGUGUCGUGAGAUGUUGGGUUAAGUCCCGCAACGAGCGCAACCCCUAUUGUUAGUUGCCAUCAUUCAGUUGGGCACUCUAGCGAGACUGCCGGUAAUAAACCGGAGGAAGGUGGGGAUGACGUCAAAUCAUCAUGCCCCUUAUGACCUGGGCUACACACGUGCUACAAUGGUUGGUACAACGAGUUGCGAGUCGGUGACGGCGAGCUAAUCUCUUAAAGCCAAUCUCAGUUCGGAUUGUAGGCUGCAACUCGCCUACAUGAAGUCGGAAUCGCUAGUAAUCGCGGAUCAGCACGCCGCGGUGAAUACGUUCCCGGGCCUUGUACACACCGCCCGUCACACCACGAGAGUUUGUAACACCCGAAGUCGGUGAGGUAACCUUUUGGAGCCAGCCGCCUAAGGUGGGACAGAUGAUUGGGGUG
rnacentral:rRNA from 1 species